GGUUAAGCGACUAAGCGUACACGGUGGAUGCCCUGGCAGUCAGAGGCGAUGAAGGACGUGCUAAUCUGCGAUAAGCGUCGGUAAGGUGAUAUGAACCGUUAUAACCGGCGAUUUCCGAAUGGGGAAACCCAGUGUGAUUCGUCACACUAUCAUUAACUGAAUCCAUAGGUUAAUGAGGCGAACCGGGGGAACUGAAACAUCUAAGUACCCCGAGGAAAAGAAAUCAACCGAGAUUCCCCCAGUAGCGGCGAGCGAACGGGGAGGAGCCCAGAGCCUGAAUCAGUGUGUGUGUUAGUGGAAGCGUCUGGAAAGGCGCGCGAUACAGGGUGACAGCCCCGUACACAAAAAUGCACAUGCUGUGAGCUCGAUGAGUAGGGCGGGACACGUGGUAUCCUGUCUGAAUAUGGGGGGACCAUCCUCCAAGGCUAAAUACUCCUGACUGACCGAUAGUGAACCAGUACCGUGAGGGAAAGGCGAAAAGAACCCCGGCGAGGGGAGUGAAAAAGAACCUGAAACCGUGUACGUACAAGCAGUGGGAGCCUCUUUAUGGGGUGACUGCGUACCUUUUGUAUAAUGGGUCAGCGACUUAUAUUCUGUAGCAAGGUUAACCGAAUAGGGGAGCCGAAGGGAAACCGAGUCUUAACUGGGCGUUAAGUUGCAGGGUAUAGACCCGAAACCCGGUGAUCUAGCCAUGGGCAGGUUGAAGGUUGGGUAACACUAACUGGAGGACCGAACCGACUAAUGUUGAAAAAUUAGCGGAUGACUUGUGGCUGGGGGUGAAAGGCCAAUCAAACCGGGAGAUAGCUGGUUCUCCCCGAAAGCUAUUUAGGUAGCGCCUCGUGAAUUCAUCUCCGGGGGUAGAGCACUGUUUCGGCAAGGGGGUCAUCCCGACUUACCAACCCGAUGCAAACUGCGAAUACCGGAGAAUGUUAUCACGGGAGACACACGGCGGGUGCUAACGUCCGUCGUGAAGAGGGAAACAACCCAGACCGCCAGCUAAGGUCCCAAAGUCAUGGUUAAGUGGGAAACGAUGUGGGAAGGCCCAGACAGCCAGGAUGUUGGCUUAGAAGCAGCCAUCAUUUAAAGAAAGCGUAAUAGCUCACUGGUCGAGUCGGCCUGCGCGGAAGAUGUAACGGGGCUAAACCAUGCACCGAAGCUGCGGCAGCGACGCUUAUGCGUUGUUGGGUAGGGGAGCGUUCUGUAAGCCUGCGAAGGUGUACUGUGAGGUAUGCUGGAGGUAUCAGAAGUGCGAAUGCUGACAUAAGUAACGAUAAAGCGGGUGAAAAGCCCGCUCGCCGGAAGACCAAGGGUUCCUGUCCAACGUUAAUCGGGGCAGGGUGAGUCGACCCCUAAGGCGAGGCCGAAAGGCGUAGUCGAUGGGAAACAGGUUAAUAUUCCUGUACUUGGUGUUACUGCGAAGGGGGGACGGAGAAGGCUAUGUUGGCCGGGCGACGGUUGUCCCGGUUUAAGCGUGUAGGCUGGUUUUCCAGGCAAAUCCGGAAAAUCAAGGCUGAGGCGUGAUGACGAGGCACUACGGUGCUGAAGCAACAAAUGCCCUGCUUCCAGGAAAAGCCUCUAAGCAUCAGGUAACAUCAAAUCGUACCCCAAACCGACACAGGUGGUCAGGUAGAGAAUACCAAGGCGCUUGAGAGAACUCGGGUGAAGGAACUAGGCAAAAUGGUGCCGUAACUUCGGGAGAAGGCACGCUGAUACGUAGGUGAAGCGACUUGCUCGUGGAGCUGAAAUCAGUCGAAGAUACCAGCUGGCUGCAACUGUUUAUUAAAAACACAGCACUGUGCAAACACGAAAGUGGACGUAUACGGUGUGACGCCUGCCCGGUGCCGGAAGGUUAAUUGAUGGGGUUAGCGGUAACGCGAAGCUCUUGAUCGAAGCCCCGGUAAACGGCGGCCGUAACUAUAACGGUCCUAAGGUAGCGAAAUUCCUUGUCGGGUAAGUUCCGACCUGCACGAAUGGCGUAAUGAUGGCCAGGCUGUCUCCACCCGAGACUCAGUGAAAUUGAACUCGCUGUGAAGAUGCAGUGUACCCGCGGCAAGACGGAAAGACCCCGUGAACCUUUACUAUAGCUUGACACUGAACAUUGAGCCUUGAUGUGUAGGAUAGGUGGGAGGCUUUGAAGUGUGGACGCCAGUCUGCAUGGAGCCGACCUUGAAAUACCACCCUUUAAUGUUUGAUGUUCUAACGUUGGCCCCUAAUCGGGGUUGCGGACAGUGUCUGGUGGGUAGUUUGACUGGGGCGGUCUCCUCCUAAAGAGUAACGGAGGAGCACGAAGGUUGGCUAAUCCUGGUCGGACAUCAGGAGGUUAGUGCAAUGGCAUAAGCCAGCUUGACUGCGAGCGUGACGGCGCGAGCAGGUGCGAAAGCAGGUCAUAGUGAUCCGGUGGUUCUGAAUGGAAGGGCCAUCGCUCAACGGAUAAAAGGUACUCCGGGGAUAACAGGCUGAUACCGCCCAAGAGUUCAUAUCGACGGCGGUGUUUGGCACCUCGAUGUCGGCUCAUCACAUCCUGGGGCUGAAGUAGGUCCCAAGGGUAUGGCUGUUCGCCAUUUAAAGUGGUACGCGAGCUGGGUUUAGAACGUCGUGAGACAGUUCGGUCCCUAUCUGCCGUGGGCGCUGGAGAACUGAGGGGGGCUGCUCCUAGUACGAGAGGACCGGAGUGGACGCAUCACUGGUGUUCGGGUUGUCAUGCCAAUGGCACUGCCCGGUAGCUAAAUGCGGAAGAGAUAAGUGCUGAAAGCAUCUAAGCACGAAACUUGCCCCGAGAUGAGUUCUCCCUGACUCCCUGAGAGUCCUGAAGGAACGUUGAAGACGACGACGUUGAUAGGCCGGGUGUGUAAGCGCAGCGAUGCGUUGAGCUAACCGGUACUAAUGAACCGUGAGGCUUAACCUU
rnacentral:rRNA from 1 species